CAAUACAAGAGUAAGUCAGUAAAAUUUAAUGGCCUGUGAUGUAUAGGAGAUCAGACUAUAUGAUCUGAGAGUCCCUUCUAGCCUUAAACUCUGUGAAUCUAUGAAUUACAACUACAGGAAGGUUAAAGUAGGUAGAAUGUAAUUAACAAUUGGCACUUGAUCAGGACAAUUCAGUAAUAUCACUACUCCUGUGAGUGUCAUGGGAUCUUUAAAAAAAGGAGUACUCGUGGCACCUUAGAGACUAACAAAUUUAU